rnacentral:rRNA from 1 species
CAGACGAGGAGCUUGCUCCUCUGACGUUAGCGGCGGACGGGUGAGUAACACGUGGAUAACCUACCUAUAAGACUGGGAUAACUUCGGGAAACCGGAGCUAAUACCGGAUAAUAUAUUGAACCGCAUGGUUCAAUAGUGAAAGACGGUUUUGCUGUCACUUAUAGAUGGAUCCGCGCCGCAUUAGCUAGUUGGUAAGGUAACGGCUUACCAAGGCAACGAUGCGUAGCCGACCUGAGAGGGUGAUCGGCCACACUGGAACUGAGACACGGUCCAGACUCCUACGGGAGGCAGCAGUAGGGAAUCUUCCGCAAUGGGCGAAAGCCUGACGGAGCAACGCCGCGUGAGUGAUGAAGGUCUUCGGAUCGUAAAACUCUGUUAUUAGGGAAGAACAAAUGUGUAAGUAACUAUGCACGUCUUGACGGUACCUAA